GCGCUCAAAAUUGCUGCUUGAUCAGGCAUUACAGGCAUGAUGAAAUGAAAAUGAGACCGCAGAUUAGCGUCAUGCAAAGGAGGAGUUUGGAAAAAUGAAUCGAUAAACCAAUCAUUUGGGAGUCGUUGAGAAAAUAAGUCUUUCUGUGUGUCACCCAGGAGAGGAAUGCACAUCUGCUUAACAUGCAGCAGAUAUAAACAACCACACACACUGACAUUCAGAAAGAGACUCUAUAGGAUUGUCAUGUUGUCAGCCAGUGUCACUUUGGCCUCCUCAUGGUGGCGAGAUCUCAAGAACAGUGUGACACCAAUAAGCAAAGAAAUACAGAGAAGAGGAAAGCGAAAGGAAGAAGAGGCCAGGCGUAGUAAAUAUUUAUGAAGGGGUGCUGAUGCUCUCUGGCUGGGUGAUGCAGAGCGUUGAAGUACAUUAACAAACACAGUAAGCAGUCCGCAUGAAUCUUUUAUAUGCUUGGAGGUCAACGACAAUAAAAGACAACAAAGGAUUGCAGCAAGCACACACAGCAACCCUGAAAUCAAUCAGCUGUCAGCCCCCCUCACUCGCUCUGCAGACCAACAGGAUGUACCAAACUAACUGAAACCCAGCUGUAGCUUGUCUGGAAUGUCUGAAAGCACGGAUCUAAUGUGCGGAGCCACAAAUGUAUUCUGAAAGAAAACAAAAUAAUGUGUAA